rnacentral:lncRNA from 10 species
UGCGGGCACUAUGCAAAGCGGGAGACGGCGCGAGCGGCGCCCGGCUCACACUAGCUCUUCCAGGACGCAGGACAGAAGAGCUCCUUGGCACUGGAUGCCUCCGGGUCUGGUUGAGAGAGGAAUGGUUAGGAGACUGUUCUGAGGAUACGCAGACAUCAUCCAAAGCUUCCUACAUUCAGAUGAGGACAGAGGUUGGGCCAGAGCUUUGUAAGCUUGUUACCUAAGGAUGGUUCUGACCAUGUAAGCAGAUCACAGAAGAGCCAGCCUUGACAAUGUGCUGAUGGCAACCUAGAACAUAAGCAGAGGAGUAUACAGGACAAGAACUUGAUGGUCUCGGGAAAAUGGACAACAUGACUCAGGUGAAAAAGAUUGAUCAUCAGAUGUUUCUUAUGUAUCAACCUGAUAUUUAAAUCCAUGAAGGACAGAGACGACAAAGGCAGGUGGAAUAGAUAGAGAAGAGAUUCAAGGUCUGAGCUCUACAUUACUCAAACUGUUAGAGAUUAGG